UCCUGACUUGUUCCUCAGUGCAGAGGACAGGGGACACCCUGAGGUUCCUGUCCAUCACUGUCUCACAGCUGAUUCCCUCUCCCAUGGCAGGCGGUGGAGCAGGGCUCAAGCUUUGUUGGUGGCAUGCGUGGGCAGUUCACAUCCUCUGGAUUGCCAAGUGGACAGCUCGGUCAGCUACAUCCACUGGUACCGCCACCAGGAGGGUACGGCACCGAAGAGGCUCCUCUACCUAGACAUGUCCAGGUCCCUUGUGCAAUGGGAUUUUCCCAUGAAAGCGGACAAAGUCAAUGCCGAGAAGAGCAAGGAGAGCUACAGCGGCACUCUGUCGGUGCCGAAACUGGAGAAAAGCGAUGAGGGCGUGUACUACUGCGCUGUCUGGGAAUACCACAGCCCUGUGCUGGGACCAGGUCCCUGA